GAAGGUAUAGCUCUCAUGGUAGAGUACAUGCCUAGCAUGUACAAUGUCCUGGGUUCAACCCCAAGUACCUCCA
rnacentral:tRNA from 1 species